GGCUCAGGACGAACGCUGGCGGCGUGCCUAACACAUGCAAGUCGAACGAGAAUCUUAGGACGGAUUCCUUCGGGGGAGAAGACUUAAGAGGAAAGUGGCGGACGGGCGAGUAACGCGUGAAUAACCUGCCCAUAAGAGGGGGGAUAACACAGAGAAAUUUGUGCUAAUACCGCAUAAUGCAGCGUGGUCGCAUGACCGUGCUGCCAAAGAUUUUAUCGCUGGAAGAUGGCCUCGCGUCUGAUUAGAUAGUUGGUGAGGUAACGGCCCACCAAGUCUGCGAUCAGUAGCCGGACUGAGAGGUUGAACGGCCACAUUGGGACUGAGACACGGCCCAGACUCCUACGGGAGGCAGCAGUGGGGAAUAUUGCGCAAUGGGGGCAAUCCUGACGCAGCAACGCCGCGUGAAGGAAGAAGGUCUUCGGAUUGUAAACUUUUGUCUUAUGGGAAGAUAAUGACGGUACCAUAGGAGGAAGCUCCGGCUAACUACGUG
rnacentral:rRNA from 1 species